rnacentral:rRNA from 1 species
ACGAACGCUGGCGGCGUGCUUAACACAUGCCCGUCGAACGGAAAGGCCCUGCUUGCAGGGUACUCGAGUGGCGAACGGGUGAGUAACACGUGGGUGAUCUGCCCUGCACUUCGGGAUAAGCCUGGGAAACUGGGUCUAAUACCGGAUAGGAGCCAUUUUUAGUGUGAUGGUUGGAAAGUUUUUUCGGUGUAGGAUGAGCUCGCGGCCUAUCAGCUUGUUGGUGGGGUAAUGGCCUACCAAGGCGGCGACGGGUAGCCGGCCUGAGAGGGUGGACGGCCACAUUGGGACUGAGAUACGGCCCAGACUCCUACGGGAGGCAGCAGUGGGGAAUAUUGCACAAUGGGCGCAAGCCUGAUGCAGCGACGCCGCGUGGGGGAUGACGGCCUUCGGGUUGUAAACUCCUUUCGCUAGGGACGAAGCUUUUUGUGACGGUACCUAGAUAAGAAGCACCGGCUAACUACGUG